UACGUAGGGUGCGAGCGUUAAUCGGAAUUACUGGGCGUAAAGCGUGCGCAGGCGGUUUUGUAAGCCGGAUGUGAAAUCCCCGGGCUUAACCUGGGAAUGGCAUUCGGGACUGCAAGGCUGGAGUGCGGCAGAGGAGACUGGAAUUCCCGGUGUAGCGGUGAAAUGCGUAGAUAUCAAGAGGAACACCUGAGGUGAAGACGGGUUGCUGGGCUGACACUGACGCUGAGGCGCGAAAGCUAGGGUAGCAAACGGG
rnacentral:rRNA from 1 species